rnacentral:lncRNA from 1 species
GGGGGAGGCAGGGGACACAUUAAGGGAGAAGAGACUUAUUUCAUUGUUUGAAAUAGGGGCAUUUGCAACUCUAUGCAGGGUCCUGGGGUUUUAGCAGCAUUGUUAGGAGAAGGGGGAGUGCGUAGCCUGAGCCAAGUAGACUCCUGGGUUGCUAAGAUACCUCUGAAUCUUGCCUGCCUCAAGAAGAUCAGAUAAACAUCUACAAAGAGACUCAGUCUGGAAUUGAACUAUGGGAAACAGAUGCCUUCUAGAAUAUCCAGAUCACAAUGAAGAAGAUAGGCCAGGAAGCUGUGGUCUGGGCACAGCUCUCCCCAGACACAAUGAAGAACCUUGGCAGAUAGGGAGACUUGACAGGCUUCCCUGCCUUCCCUUUACUAACAGGAACGGGGGCUGUGAACUAGACCCCGGGGUUCCAUCUAGUUCAGACAGUCUAGGAAGUGCCAAGGUUGAAAUGUGUUUCCUCCAGCGCUAUGUGAAAGAGCCAAGUAGGGGAUUUCUGUGCUUCUUUGACUCACCUCAGAACGAAUCUCCUUCUACGCCGUCAACCUUUCUAUUUUGUGAGGGAGUCAGUCCCCUGAUUAAAAGUUCUGAGGCACUUGGUUCCUGUUUCUUUGGGGGGAGGUAGAGACACCAAAACCUUUGAAAUAUAAGACAUACUAAAGGAG